UAUGUGAUCGUCUCUCGCAUAUCAAUAAGCGGAGGAAAAGAAACUAACAAGGAUUCCCCUAGUAACGGCGAGUGAAGCGGGAAGAGCUCAAAUUUGAAAUCUUAAAGGGUUUCCCUUUACGAAUUGUAGUUUAAAGAAGUGUUUUCUGUUGAGGUUUUGGUAAAAGUUCUUUGGAAUAGGACAUCAUAGAGGGUGAGAAUCCCGUAUUUGACCUUUACUUUCAACUUUGUGAUACACUUUCAAAGAGUCGGAUUGUUUGGGAAUGCAGUCCAAAAUGGGUGGUAAAUUUCAUCUAAAGCUAAAUAUUGGCGAGAGACCGAUAGCGAACAAGUACCGUGAGGGAAAGAUGAAGAGAACUUUGAAAAGAGAGUUAAACAGUACGUGAAAUUGUCAAAAGGGAAGCGUUUGACACCAGUGUUGUUUUUCUGAAAAUCAAUUAAAGAACUGUUUAUGCUAAGUUGUUUAGACUUUAUCAGCUAACUGUUUAGUCUUGAGCUUUUCUUUAAUGCACUUUUCAGUUAACAAGUCAACAUCAAUUUCUUUUGCUGUAAAAAAGCUUGAGGAAGGUGGCUUGAGAUUCGUCUUAAGUGUUUAUAGCCUCUUGCCUAUGCAGUCGGAGAGAUUGAGGUCUGCAGCGUAGAUCCUUCGGGGCUAAAUGCAUUUGUGCUAAGUUAUAGCAUUUUAUAGACAACUUGUUGACUAUGAUUUGUCUUGUAGCUUACUCGCUUAUGUUAUUUUACCUACGCUUAGGAUGUUGAUAUGCAUGACUGAUAU
rnacentral:rRNA from 1 species